rnacentral:rRNA from 1 species
GUACACGCUGUGACUAGCAUAUCAAUAAGCGGAGGAAAAGAAACUAACAAGGAUUCCCCUAGUAACGGCGAGUGAAGCGGGAAGAGCUCAAAUUUGAAAUCUUAAAGGGUUUCCCUUUACGAAUUGUAGUUUAAAGAAGUGUUUUCUGUUGAGGUUUUGGUAAAAGUUCUUUGGAAUAGGACAUCAUAGAGGGUGAGAAUCCCGUAUUUGACCUUUACUUUCAACUUUGUGAUACACUUUCAAAGAGUCGGACUUGUUUGGGAAUGCAGUCCAAAAUGGGUGGUAAAUUUCAUCUAAAGCUAAAUAUUGGCGAGAGACCGAUAGCGAACAAGUACCGUGAGGGAAAGAUGAAAAGAACUUUGAAAAGAGAGUUAAACAGUACGUGAAAUUGUCAAAAGGGAAGCGUUUGACACCAGUGUUGUUUUUCUGAAAAUCAAUUAAAGAACUGUUUAUGCUAAGUUGUUUAGACUUUAUCAGCUAACUGUUUAGUUUUGAGCUUCUCUUUAAUGCACUUUUCAGUUAACAAGUCAACAUCAAUUUCUUUUGCUGUAAAAAAGCUUGAGGAAGGUGGCUUGAGAUUCGUCUUAAGUGUUUAUAGCCUCUUGCCUAUGCAGUCGGAGAGAUUGAGGUCUGCAGCGUAGAUCCUUCGGGGCUAAAUGCAUUUGUGCUAAGUUAUAGUAUUUCAUAGACAACUUGUUGACUAUGAUUUGUCUUGUAGCUUACUCGCUUAUGUUAUUUUACCUACGCUUAGGAUGUUGAGUCGUAGAGCACGCAG